rnacentral:rRNA from 1 species
GAUGAACGCUGGCGGCGUGCCUAAUACAUGCAAGUCGAGCGAACAGAUGAGGAGCUUGCUCCUCUGACGUUAGCGGCGGACGGGUGAGUAACACGUGGAUAACCUACCUAUAAGACUGGGAUAACUUCGGGAAACCGGAGCUAAUACCGGAUAAUAUAUUGAACCGCAUGGUUCAAUAGUGAAAGACGGUUUUGCUGUCACUUAUAGAUGGAUCCGCGCCGCAUUAGCUAGUUGGUAAGGUAACGGCUUACCAAGGCAACGAUGCGUAGCCGACCUGAGAGGAUGAUCGGCCACACUGGAACUGAGACACGGUCCAGACUCCUACGGGAGGCAGCAGUAGGGAAUCUUCCGCAAAGGGCGAAAGCCUGACGGAGCAACGCCGCGUGAGUGAUGAAGGUCUUCGGAUCGUAAAGCUCUGUUAUUAGGGAAGAAAAAAUGUGUAAGUAACUAUGCACGUCUUGACGGUACCUAAUCAGAAAGCCACGGCUAACUACGUG